UUCCAUGAAUGUUUGACAUAAUUUUUGAUGUCUAAAAACAAGAGUGCACACGCUGAAAUGUCUCACCUUCUUUCCUAAUCAUUGAUAUUAUGUUGAUAGUCCUAAAUAUAAAGCUUUAAUACAACUCACAUAAACUCAACAUUAACCAAGAAAACAAAACAUUGAUCAUUGAACCAUGAAAAUUAGGUCAAGGUCAAGGUCAGAUGAACCAUGCCAGGCAGACAUGUACAGCUAACAAUUCUUCUAUACAACAAUUAUUGUUGACCUAUUGCUAAUAAAUUAAGAAAACAGACCAAAGCACAAAUACUUAACUCUCAGCAAUGAAGAGUGAAAAUGAGGUCAAGGUCAAAUAAAACCUGCGCGACUGACACAUAGAUCAUAAAAUAUUUCCAUACACCAAAUAUAGUUGACCUAUUGCAUAUAGUAUUAGGAAAAAAGACCAAAAACUCAAAAACUUAACUUUGACCACUGAACCAUGAAAAUGAGGUCAAGGUCAGAUGACACCUGUCAGCUAGACAUGUACACCUUACAAUAAUUCCAUACACCAAAUAUAGUAGACCUAUUGCAUAUAGUAUAAGAAAAACAGACCAAAACACAAAAACUUAACUGUAACCACUGAACCAUAAAAUGAGGUCAAAGUCAGAUGACACCUGCCAGUUGGACAUGUACACCUCACAGUCCUUCCAUACACCGAAUAUACUAGACCUACUGCUUAUAGUAUCUGAGAUAUGGACUUGACCACAAAAACUUAACCUUGUUCACUGAUCCAUGAAAUGAGGUCGAGGUCAGAAAGUUUGUAACACAAGGCAUCUAUAUAUAAAGUAUGAAGCAUACAUGUCUUCCACCUUCUAAAAUAUAAAGCUUUUAAGAAGUAAGCUAACGCUGCCGCCACCGUAGCCGCCAGAUCACUUUACCUAUGUCCAGCUUUCUACAACAAAAGUUGCAGGCUCAACAAAAACUAUAAAGUUAAACUGAACCUAAAUAUUGAAAAAAACAAUAACAUAAUCUUGCCUUCUUAAAAUUUGCAAGCGGGUCAAAAUGGCUAAAAUCUUCUCCAAAAUUUUAACUUUGAACACUUUAAUAUAAAAUUUAUGGCUUACAAUAUUAUUCAAAAUAUUAUUCAGUUUAUAGGGAAUCUAAUAGCUAUUCAUCUUGGCCUUUUACCCAGAUUUUGAGUUUAUGCAGUGACCAAUCUAUGUCAAUUCCUAAAUUCUUGUCUAGUUUUCAAUUUGGGCAGUCUGGGACACUAUUUAUUUUUUUCACUUCUUGUGAUAUAAACCUUAUUUUUUCAUUAAUAGGACAAACAUGAUUCUUUUAUAAGCACAUUUAAAAAAUUAAAUAAAAUCUGUAUAAAUAAUGACUUCCCUUUGGUAUAUAAAUGAAAAUCUAGAAAUAAGUUUGUCUUGCCUUCCGAAGAAAGCUAACAGCUUAUUG
rnacentral:lncRNA from 1 species